ACGAGUGACAUUUAUGAAUCUACCUGCUUGUGGGGGAUAGCUCACGUGAAGCUCACAUUAAUUCCUCCCACAAACUACCGGUGAAAGGGGGCGCAAGCUCUUGCUAUCACAUGACCCUAAAUCAGAUUAGCUAGUUGUUGGUGUAAAGGCCCACCACGGCUACCAUCUGCAACUGUUCUGAGAUGAUGAUCAAUCACACCCAACCUGACUGACACUCCGGACUCCUACAGACUGCUACAGUGGGCAAUAUUGGACAAUGUUGGCAACCGUGAUCCAGCCUUGCCGCGUGUGUCAAGAAGGCCUUUUGGUUGUAAAGCACUUUAAACAGCUUUGAGAGGCUAAGGGUUAAUACCCAUUAAAUUAUACGUUCCCUGCAGAAUAACCACCAGCUAACUCUGUGCCACCCCCCGCGGUAAUAC
rnacentral:rRNA from 3 species